AGCCUUUUGAGUUAAUAUAAAAGGUUAAACCUGCCCGGUGAUCCACGGAUUUAACGGCCGCGGUACCCUGACCGUGCUAAGGUAGCAUAUAAUACGCCCUUUAAUUGUGGGCUAGUAUGAAAGGACAAACGAGAGCUAAGCUGUCUCUAAAAUAAAACCUAAAAUUAACCUACAGGUGAAAAGGCCUGUAUUCCAUUAAAAGACAAAAAGACCCCGUAGAGCUUAACUUACCCGAAUCUAAAAAGAAAAUAUUCUAUAAAUUUCUUUUUAAAAUAACACAGUUUAGCUGGGGCGGCUAAGGAGCAAUAAUUAAACCUCCUUAUAAAAAAAGGAAACAAACCAAUUUUUGAUCCUUUAUUGAUUAAAGAAAAAAGCUACCUAGGGGAUAACAGGCUAAUACCUUUUAAGAGCACAUAUCGAAAAAGGAGUUUGGCACCUCGAUGUUGGCUUAGAGGAACCUGGAGGUAGCAGAAGCUUCCAAAGGCAGGUUUGUUCAACCUUUAAACCUCU
rnacentral:rRNA from 1 species